GGGCGGAGCGGGGCCGAGGAGGUGGAGCGGCAUGGGGCGGAGCGUGACGGGGCGGGAAGGAAGGGAGAGAGACGUGGAUUAGAUGGGAAGGUGAGGUGGUUUAGUGUGUUGUUGUUGUGUUGUGUUGUUGUUAGUGUGGUUCUUGUUUUUUUGUUUUACUUUUGUUUUGGUUAUUUUACUUUUUAUUUUUUUAUUUAGUUUUUUUUUAUAAAUUUGGAUCAUUGGUGUAUUUUUUUUUAUUUCUACUUUACUCUUUUUUUAUCCGUUUUUUUUUCUUUUUUUACUUUAUUUUUUAUAUAUAAUUUUGGAUUAGUUUUUUUUUAAUUUAUACUUUACUCUUUUUUCAUAGUUUGCUUUUGUUUAAUUUUAUUUUUUCCGUUUUCCUUUUGUGUUUUUUUAUUUUAUUUUAUUUAUUUAUUUUAUUUUUUGCAUAACAGCGUCAAGGCAAGUUCAAUUUUUUAUCCCGGGUUUUAGUUUUAUUUUAUUAUUAUUAUUAUUAUAUUUCUUUUUUGCACUACAGGAUCAGCGACAGUGUAAUUUUUUGGGGUUUAAUCUGUUCUUAUUUUAUCUUUUUAUUGAUAUUUAAAUUUUUGCGUUAUGGAAUCGGUGCCAAUUUCAUUUUUUUCAUCAUUAUUUGUGUGUUUGUGUGUUUGUUUUCAGUUUAUUUAUAUAUUUUUUUUAGUGUGUGUGUUUGUGUGUGUGUGUGUGUGUGUGUGUGUGUGUGUGUGUGUGUGUGUGUGUGUGUGUGUGUGUGUGUGUGUGUGUGUGUGUGACGGUAUACAAAGUGAAUACGUAACUCAAAUUGUGGUCAUACUUUUAUAAUCGUGAGCAUCGUUUACUGCGUUUAUUAUUAUUAUUAUUAGUAUUAUUAUUAUUAUUAUUAUUAUUAUUAUUAUUAUUAUUGUUAUUAUUUUUAUUAUUAUUAUUAUCGGAAAGCAACUUCAUCGAUUUCAAAAGCAAGUGUGUUUGAGCUUCAUUUUAAUUCAUGCUCGAGUUUAAUCUUGAUGGGAAAGUCAUAAAAAGAAAGUCAGCUCAAUUAUGAAAGGCGUCUACUUAAUUCAUAUUCAUUCAAGGUUAAUUUUUAAAAGAGUAUAAUUCUAAAAAGUUAAAAAAAUAAAGUUAGCUCAAUUAUGAAAGGCGUCUAUUUAACUCAUAUUCAUUCAAGGUUAAUUUUUAAAAGAGUAUAAUUCUAAAAAGUUAAAAAAAUAAAGUUAGCUCAAUUAUAAAAGCUUCUAUUCAAUUAAUAUCCAUUCGACGUUAAGUUUUAAAAGAGCAAAAUUUUAAAACGUUAAAAAGAAAGUCAGUUUAGUCAUUAUGAAAAAUCGUUAACUUGUAAAAAUGGACUGAACAAGUUAAAAGAAAAAUUCUGACUAACUCCAAACAAUAACAAAGACUUUGAUGAAUUAAAUAAAAAUGUGUAUAAUUAUCUCCAUUUUGUUAUUAUGUUCUUUUAAAGCUCCCCAAAGCAAACAAAAAGUAUAAUUAGUAAUGCCCGGUUAGCACUGCCCCAAAAUCGUGUUAGUACAAAUAUUAAACAGUGAACAGUUAUGUGGAUUUUAACGUCAGUCUGUUUAGUGUUUUGUGUGAAAAUACCCUGUAACUUGCAGACAAAAGGUGUUGGAUCCUGCUUACAUAAAGGUUCAGGAUUCCACACACACGCUUUUGUCCGCAAAUAAAAAAAAAAGGAAAAAAAGGAUAAUGCAACAACCAAAGAAAACUAUAUACAAAUUUCAUGGUAUAACUUACGGAAAAAAAAAAUAAGUGAAAGCAUAAAAUAACACACUUGCAUAGAACCAAAAAAUAUAUACUCACUUCCUUUUAUUAUUUCUUAUGUUAGAUAUUUAUUUGGGUUUAAUUUAUAUUUAGUGCAAGUGUGGUGAACAAGCGUACGUACUUACUGUGGUGCAACUUACGGCCUAGGGUUAGUGUGUGUUUAAAUGGUUGGUUUGGAAGCGGGAAAAACGCAAACAAAAAAACAUGUAUUGGUGAGUCGUUCAAAAAAAAAAAAAAAAAAAAAAAAAAAAACGUGUAUUGGUGAGUCGAGUUUAGUGUGACUUAGGUUUUUAUGGUUUAGUGUUUUGUUAUAUAUGAAGCGUUAAGUGUGAGAGGGUGACCAAGCUAAUUAAGUCGAUAUUUUGUUGUUGUUUUUCUUUCUUUUUCAUAUUUUUUUGCUGUUUUUUUUUCUUUACUUUUUCAUAUUGUUUUAUUUUUUUAUUUGUUCUUCAUAUUGAUUUGUUUUUUUUGUUUUUCAUAUUGAUUUGUUGUUUUUUCUUUCUUUUUCAUAUUGAUUUGUUGAUUUUUCCUCCUUUUUCAUAUUGUGUUGUUUUUUCUUUGUUUUUUAUACCGAUUUGUUGUUUUUUCCUACUUUUUCACAUUUUGUUCUGUUGUUUUUUUCUAUUUUUCAUAUUGAUUUGUUGUUUUGUUUUCUUUUCUUUUUCACUUUUCUUUAUUUUUUUGGCAUCGGGCAUCUGAAUUCUUGCUGGGUCGUGUGGUGACGCAAAUUAAGGAAAAAUCAACCUUAAAAAGAGUGAUUCCUAGGCCUAAAGUUGUAUGAUUUUAACCCACAUUCAGCUGGCGUGGGACGGGCAGAGUCUGGUCGCUUAAAAACACAAUAUCCUUAAGACUAUUAAAACGACAGGUCACCCCCUUAUACACUAAACACCUCAUAUACACUGUGGCUUCAGUCUAUACACAUAUAUAUAUUUUCCUAUCCACACUAACUUGGCAGAUAAGCCCCGCCCACUCCAACCCAGCCUCCACCAAUCACAUGCAGCCUGGGUUGGUGAGGGGGCGGGGUUUACUUGUGGGGCAGCCAAUGGGAUGCUUAAUUGAGGAAGGGGGAGGGGCUUAUGUGCCAAGAUAGGCCCCGCCCACUCCAGCCUUUCCCAGCCUCCACCAAUCACAUGCAGCCUGGGUUGGUGAGGGGGCGUGGCUUACUUGUGGGCCAACCAAUGGGAUGCUUAAUUGAGGAAGGGGGAGGGGCUUAUGUGCCAAGUUAGUGUGGAUAAGGUGUGGGUCUGGUGUCAACUGGUGUAGGAUACGUUGAUUUAGGUCUUUAGUACGCCAGAAUUUUGUGUAUUAUAGGUACGAAGUAUUGUAUUUUUGUUAACGGACCGAUUUAGAUGUUUGUUGUUGCGUGGUUUUGUUUAUUCAAUGUGAUUUUAUGUUAUUAUUAUUUACGGUUAGGCUUUUUUUACGAUCAUGAAUACAGAAAGCGAAUCUAAGCUGUUUUAAGACCGGUUGUGAUAUGGCAUAGUUUUCCUCAUUUAAUAUCUGAGUUUUUAUUGCCAUUAUUUGCAGAGAACUUUUGUGAGCGUGAAUACAAAAACUGAAUGUAAACUGUUUGAAGCCUGGCUGUGAUGUGGUAUAAUUUUCAUCAUUUAAUUCUGGCCCUGAUGUGGUAUAAUUCUCGUCACUUAAUUCCCAAGUUUAUUUCUCGAAUACGUUUCAUGAUCGUGAAUAUAAAAACUGAAUCUAAACUAAGCCUGGUUGCAGUUUGUGGAAUCAGUGUUUACGUGUUCCAUCAAUGCGUCUAAAGUUUUGAUUAGUGGUGUAGGUAGUGGUAUUAACUCUCCUAAGUAUAACAGUGGUGUGGUUAGUGUAUAGUGUAGAUAGUGGUAGUAGUAGUAGUAGUAGCGGUAAUGGUAUUAACUCUUUAAGUAUAGUACUGGUGUGAGUAGUGUAUUGCAUAGAUAGUGGUAGUAGUAAUAGUAGUGGUAGUGGUAUUAACUCUACUUAUAGUUGUAGUGGUGUGGUUAGUGUUGUUUUUGUUGUUGUUGUUGUUGUUGGUGGUGGUGGUAAUAAACUCCCUUCUUAACAUCUAAAGCAAAAUCACUUAUCACUUGCUUCAUCAGUCUCGGGAGAACUUUAAGCAAGCCUUCUAUUUAAGUACGUCCGCGCUUGGCUGUGCUAGCGUGUCCGUGGUCCCGGGUUAAACACACACACACACACACACACGGACACACACGCACAGCCAGGCGGGGCAACACACAAACAUCUAAGAAAACGUAAAAAUGAAACAGUACGACUAGACUAAAAUGAUGCGAGUGCGAGGAAUAAAAAGAGACAAAACCGUACACUAGUCUAUUUUUUGUGCUAGCGGUGCAGAAUCGGAUAAAGUAAAUAAACACAACACCAGACACGAGAGGGAGGCAGAUUCAGCCGUUCCGUUACGUGUGUCAAGCCCUCUCUCGUAAGCUAUGCCGGUGCUGGGACGGGACAGGACAGACACAUGACAGACGAACAUAACACCCAGACGGGACAGUAUAGGCUCUCGUGUCCUAGUCAAGAGAGCUGUAAAGGGGCUAUUAUCCUUAGUCAAACCACGAUUUCCGCUGGCGUGGUUCUCAUAUGUCCGUGGUUUUCUGGCGUGUCCACGAUCUUCCAAAGCUACGGUAGAUUUCACUGAAGGACGACGGUAUUACUCACCAUCAUCAUCAGCAGCAAUAAUGAGAAAAAUUAGAACCACGCUAGCGGAAAUCGUGGUUUGACUGAAGAUCCACGGAAAAUUUGCCCAGUGUAAUAGCCACUUAAGUCAGACAAGCCAGGCAUUACGAGGCACUGCUGUAGUGAAUUAUAGAUGGAAAAUAACAAAAAAAAAAAUUAGGCAAGGCAAGGAAAGUUUAACGUUAGCGAUCUAGUUCUACGCCAGGAGAAGCGGAAUGUUAUUAAUUACAGAACAGGUGAGUUAGUAUAUAAGGUGCGUAGCGUGUAUUUAUACGUACAGGUGUAACAGCGGACAUUCUCCAUAUAACGUCAUUACUUCUUUGGGGUCAGGCUUUCGCGACUUACGGCAAGAACUCCACGUUUUUAUUUAUUUUACGUAAUGCAUUGUAAAUAUUAUGAAUCGGACACACACACACACACACAGAGUAAAGGGAAAGGUCCGACUUGAGACAUGACACAAUACCCUCUUUCUUUCACAUGUAUACUUCUUAAUCAGUCACAUAUUUCACUAUAGGGGCAAAAUGAGUGACUCUGAAGGGGGGCAAGAGGCGACGGGGGUGGUGGGGGGGAGGAGGGGAAGGGGCGCAGAGAAUGACGUUAGACAAAGACGCAGCGUUACACCCGAUACAAAACAAGUGGUAUUAUAAAAAAAAUCCAGUUGUCAUUUAGCUCCAGGCACCAAAUCUAUCUACUCGUACAACUGCAUGCAUGUUAGCUACCAGAGGAGGAGGAGGAGGAGGAGGAGGAUAAAUAAGCUGAAAUAUGGAAUGGAGGAAGAGGAAGAGGAGGCAGAGAGGACUAUAUUAAGAGGAGGAGAGGGAACGUUCGGAUUCAUAAUUAUGAGGAGGAGGAGGAGGAAGGGGAGGAGGAUAAUAGAAGAGGAGGCAGAGAAGACUAUAUUAAGAGGAGGAGGAAGAGGAGGAGAGGGAACGUUCGGAUUCAAAUGAGCAGCAGGAGGAGGAAGGGGAGGAGGAUAAUAGAAGGGGAGGCAGAGAAGACUAUAUUAAGAGGAGGAGGAAGAGGAGGAGAGCAGGAGGAGGAAGCCAGAAUUAACAUCAGAAAGCAUUAUCACACAAACACGACCUCUGGCAUCUCUCAAUAUUUUUCCACCAUUACGAGACGCUUCUGGGAAUUGUGUCGAGUCUCCGUACCUCUCUCCUCCAUCUCACGUCCACGGAGAAACUGCACAACUACCCCAAGACUCUCUCACCGGUAAUUAACACACAGAAAUGCCAGAAGAAACAUGUUCGUGUGAAUCUACGGUCCAUAUUUUCAGACUUUCGGGAGCUCACACACCUUCAUUUGACAAGGCUUUGGUAGAGGUUGUUGUGUUGGUGUUUCCAUGGGUAGUUUUAUGAGCCUAGUGAUAGUUUGGCAAGGCUUUGGUAGAGGUUGUUGUGUUGGUGUUUCCAUGGGUAGUUUUGUGAGCCUAGUGAUAGUUUGGCAAGGCUUUGGUAGAGGUUGUUGUGUUGGUGUUUCCAUGGGUAGUUUUGUGAGCCUAGUGAUAGUUUGGCAAGGCUUUGGUAGAGGUUGUUGUGUUGGUAUUUCCAUGGGUAGUUUUGUGAGCCUAGUGAUAGUUUGGCAAGGCUUUGGUAGAGGUUGUUGUGUUGGUGUUUCCAUGGGAAGUUUUGUGAGCCUAGUGAUAGUUUGAUAAGGCUUUGGUAGAGGUUGUUGUGUUGGUGUUUCCAUGGGUAAUUUUAUGAGCCUAGUAAUAGUUUGGUAAGGCUUUGAUAGAGGUUGUUGUGUGGGUAUUUCCAAGGGUAGUUUUACGAGCUCAGUGAUAGUUUGACAAGGCUUCCACACCAUGAACAUAAAAACACACUCAUGGAAACCCAACUACCCUCCUCUGUGGCCUUGGAAAAUAAAGCCGUGAGACCCAAAAGCCGAGAACACGAACACAGACAAAAGGUUUCAGAAUCACAGCAAAGAGCGGUAUAGAGUGAAGCGAUUGCAGUUAGCGAGUUAGAAGCUGGAGUUAGAGGAUUAGAGUCCGGGUUUAUGGAGGAAUUAGAGCAAGAAUCGGCUCUACAAGACUA